CCAGGAGUCUUGCAUCAGAAAGGGCUCUAAGAGAGAGCUUUAGAGGUCCACUGCCUCCGUGGAGGCAGCUCCCCUUUCCCGGACAUCUCCCAGGAAAUUUGAAAAAUUGCUCUGUUCUGCCCAACUGGGGAGAGGGAGAAACCAGAAGCCUGUUAACAGGUAGCAAGUAGCAAGAAACCAGAAGCCUGUUAACAGGUAGCAAGUAGCAAGCAGUGGGCAGGGGAGGGAGUUGAGGGCUGCCCUCCUGAGAGGCCAAAAAAGGUGGGGAGGAAAGGAGGAAAAGGGGCCAGAGAAGGGUCCAGCAGAGAGGCAGUCCCUGGAUGCCCAGCCUCUGCCGUGCUUCUUUCUCUGGACAUCAAGAAUGGAGGAAACUUGAAGUCGGUAACCGACCUUCACAAAACAGGCAAGACGAAACCCUGAACAUGGACGGGGAGGUACUAGACCUCAAAGGGAAGAGAAGGAAAAGAGUCUCAAACAUGAAACCAGGUU
rnacentral:lncRNA from 1 species